rnacentral:rRNA from 1 species
UACGUAGGGUGCGAGCGUUGUCCGGAAUUAUUGGGCGUAAAGAGCUCGUAGGCGGUGUGUCACGUCGUUCGUGAAAACCUGCAGCUUAACUGUGGGCGUGCGGUCGAUACGGGCAUCACUGGAGUUCGGCAGGGGAGACUGGAAUUCCUGGUGUAGCGGUGAAAUGCGCAGAUAUCGGGAGGAACACCGGUGGCGAAGGCGGUUCUCUGGGCCUUACCUGACGCUGAGGAGCGAAAGCGUGGGGAGCGAACAGG